AAUUGUAAUUCUUCCUAAAGUUAGUGGUUCUUAUGGUAAAAUUAAAAGAGUCUGUGAGACUGACAUUGGAAUUGUAUCUCAAUGUUGCUUGCCAAAGCAUGCUAGCAGGCCAAACAAGCAAUAUUUGGAAAAUGUUGCACUCAAAAUCAAUGUCAAGGUUGGUGGGCGUAACACGGUUCUUGAGUGAGCCUUU